ensembl:snoRNA
CAGCAAACAGUGAAUUCCUUCUGGUCUGGCUUGUGGGGAUCUAGAGGCGGUCCACGCCUGCCAUCGUAGGUGGCGAGUCCUGUCCAGCGCCAGUGUUGUGGUGGAAGCUUUGGAUCUGACACGUAUCA